AUACGGGGGGUGCAAGCGUUAACCGGAAUUACUGGGCGUAAAGCGCGCGUACGCGGUUUGCUCAGUCGGAUGUGAAAGCCCAGGGCUCAACCUUGGAACUGCAUACGAUACUGGCAAACUAGAGUGUGAGAGAGGAUAGUGGAAUUUCCGGUGUAGCGGUGAAAUGCGUAGAUAUCGGAAGGAACAUCAGUGGCGAAGGCGACUGUCUGGCUCAACACUGACGCUGAGGUGCGAAAGCGUGGGUAGCAAACAGGAUUAGAAACCCUAGUAGUCC
rnacentral:rRNA from 1 species